GCACGAGUAGCUCAGCGGUAGAGCGGCCCGCUUACACCGGGUUGGUCGGCGGUUCAAUCCCGUCCUCGUGUACCA
rnacentral:tRNA from 1 species